ACAUCUUAUUGACAACCCUAAAACCUUGCAAAACCAUCCAUUUAUGUCCCUUUCACAACCAAACAAAAGUAGCAUUUCCCCAAAAACAAGUGCAACCCUGCCCUUUAAAGUCCAGCCUCACCCCCAUUCUACCUCAGACCUGCAACAGGAUUACAUAAUAAAACAUACUUUCUUCAUCAGUGAACUCAGCGGGCCUCCUUAAUUAUUCACUUAUUUCAUUCAUCAUGAACAUGAUCAAAGUCACUUGUGCAGUUCUCAUUGCAGCUUCCUCCAUGAGUGCAGCAUUUGCUGCUGCAGAGGUUCCUGCCCCUGCACCUGGCCCAAGCAGUGAUGCCUCAAGCACUGUUGUUGGGUCCUUGAUUGGUGCCUCGGUGUUGUCUUUCAUUGCCUUGUUCCACUAAGGUCAGAGAAAACCAGAACACAUCUAUUGUUACACAAAAUUUGCCAUUAGUUAUGUUUUUUGUUGUGAUAGGUUGAAAUAAUAUAUUUUACUUCAAUAUUUAAUAAUUAAAUAUAUAUUUUUGAUCAAUCACAACAAUUUACACAUGCAACAACACAUUUUUUGGAAUAGAUGAGGUCUCCCUAAAAAAACAUGACAUGGGAGAAGAGAGAUACAAUUUACUUGAAGAUGUAAAUCUAUACAUCUAAAAAAACUGAAUAAAGUGUGACAACGAGUAUUAUAAAAAAUUCAUACAUGUUGUAAUAACAAUGAUUUGUUACAUCAUUAUUUUUAUUCACAGAUGUUUUAGUUUCAUUUUUGUUCAGUUCAUUAGGUAUCUUAAUUCUUGAUUUCUCCUAAGCAAUUAAAGCGAUAAGAAAAGGAAACGUGUCCUAAACUGGUUCUGGUUACAAACAUCACAAUCAUCAAUAAAUAAUCAGAAAGUUUGAGAAAUAAAAAAAGUGCGUUAGUUAUCUCCCAUAUCUAUUACUGCUAUAUACGAAUAACAAAUAAAAAACACAAAAUAGGGAGGACAUUCUUAAUGGAAAAUGAGGAUCCAUGGUUUCUUGCUUGAGAACUUUGGCAUCCAGAAACGAC
rnacentral:lncRNA from 1 species